rnacentral:rRNA from 1 species
UACGUAUGGACCAAGCGUUGUCCGGAAUCAUUGGGCGUAAAGCGCGCGUAGGCGGCCCGGUAAGUCCGUUGUGAAAGUCGAAGGCUCAACCUUCGAAAGCCGAUGGAUACUGCCGGGCUAGAGUACGGAAGAGGCGAGUAGAAUUCCUGGUGUAGCGGUGGAAUGCGCAGAUCUCAGGAGGAACACCAAUAGCGAAGGAAGCGCGCUGGGACGGUACUGACGCUAAGGCGCGAAAGCGUGGGGAGCGAACAGG